UCCGCCAGAGAACUACGAGUGAAAAACUUAAAACUCAAAGGACUUGACGGUGUCCCAUAUCGGCCUAGAGGAGCCUGUCCUAUAAUCGAUACCCCCCGUUCCACCUAACCCCAACUAGCAAAACAUCAGCCUAUAUACCGCCGUCGACAGUUUACCCUAUGAAGGUCCAAUAGUAGACACAAUAGCCCUAACACUAAUACGUCAGGUCAAGGUGUAGCAAAUGCUGGGGAAGAGAUUGGCUACAUUUUUUAUGAUAAAAAACACGAAUUGCACCAUGAAAAAGUGCAUGAAGGUGAAUUUAGUAGUAAAACAGAUAAGAGUGCCUGUUUUAACAUCGCUCUGGGACGCGUACACACCGCCC
rnacentral:rRNA from 1 species